UACAGAGGGUGCAAGCGUUGUUCGGAAUUAUUGGGCGUAAAGCGCGUGUAGGCGGCUAAGUAAGUCGGGCGUGAAAUCCCACGGCUCAACCGUGGAAGUGCACUCGAAACUGCAUAGCUAGAGUCCUGGAGAGGAAGGUGGAAUGCUUGGUGUAGAGGUGAAAUUCGUAGAUAUUCGCAAGAACACCAGUGGCGAAGGCGGCUCACUGGCCCGAUACUGACGCUGAGGCACGAAAGCGUGGGGAGCAAACAGG
rnacentral:rRNA from 1 species